UGCCGUUGUCCCUGGGGUUCAUUUGUGAAGAUCGUACUCCUCUCUCCUAAGGAGUGGUCUUAAAGCCACCGAUGGCAAAAACCCUGGAUUGCUUCAACACUUGUUCUGUUUUCAUCUCUCCACCGCCUGCUUAAAAUAAGGAGCUCAUUGCUAUUCUGCCCACGGCUGCCUCUAACUCAGAACUGGACCGGGAAUUGAAUUCAUUUUUCUCUCUUUUGCUAAAUACCAUUUUUAUCUUGGCUCAGUCUGCGAAUCCUUAGAUGACAGCAUCUGUUUUAGCAGUUCAUGCCUGGACCUAAAGGAACAAGUGAUAAAGGACCCCUCCCUAGCUCCCCAUGACCUGUCUGUCUUCCAGGGGAGUCUCCCACACACAGAGCGGCCAUCCUGCAAGCUGCCACAAGCCCCCUUCUUUUCUUCUCACCUUUUUCAUUCCUGGGUGCCGGAUGGGAGCCUUCAGAGUUUCACCAGUAAAUUACAGCAUCCCCCACUCCCCAGACUUCAGGCUCUCUCUCUUUGAAAGAGGAAAACGAGCGCAUGGUAGAGGCAAGCUUCUCCAAGGGCAAGCUUCUCCAAGGGCCAGCUUCUCCAAGGGCAAGUUUCUCCAAGGGCAAGCUUCUUCCAGGGCAAGCUUCUCCCAGGCCACCGCGCACCUGUGAACCCAAGUCCCCAAACCCUGCCGCUGCCGACACUGUUGACAAGGAAAGACAGCAGAGAAAAGGGAUGAAAUCUGUAUUCUGCGGCUGGGACACUGAGGGACGCCACGGAGACAAGACAAACAGGAUUGUUCCUUAUCUGGAGUCCUGGACCGGGCUUUCCUAAAAAGAAAUGGCUCCCCACAAAAGCCACAGGAUUCUUUUAUUUCCCGCUUUUCGUGCCAGAUGUUUCCCGGGACACUUGAAGAAGAUGGAGGAAGUAGAAUGAACCCAGGCUUAGCCCAGCAACUCAGCUCCCCUCUGACCUUGAACAGGUCCCUCCCGGCACACUGGAGGUUUCUCAACCACAGGGCAUGGGUUUCCUUUCUUUGUGUACCUCUUGGUUGUGCUGAGAAGCAAAGAAAACUAGCAAAGUCAGAAGCACUUUGGAAAUGUCGAGCGUAUCACGUGACCUCAAGGCUCUUGAAGCAUCACAUGACCUGAAGGGUUCUGGAUCUCUUCAUCCAAAAUGGCAGCGGGAAACUUCAGCCUGAUUUCUUUCCUUCUUCCUUCCCGUUGUUCCUUCCUCACUGGAAAAGCACCGAGAGAAUCCCGCCCCUGUACCAGACGCUGUUAUUUUCUCAGGGACUGAGGAUUCCCACAGGUUCCCGGAACUCAGAGGGAGGAGGGAGCAGAUCUAAAUAAACUAUAAUUAUGAUGAGUGGGUAUGAGGCCUGUUUGUUUUGAUCUUGCCAGGUAGCCCAGGCUAGCUGGCUAUUGGUGGAAGGCCUUUUAGGAGAUCCAUCUUUUUUGAGGAGUCCAGGGAGCUGUGAAGUAUAGAAAGAGGUUCAUGCCUGUUAGCCCAGCAUGUGGGAGGCUUAGGCAGAAAGACUAGGAGUCCAAAGUCUUUCCUCAGGAAACCUGGCUGUGUGGCUAAAAAAACGGCCCCAGAAGAAGUUGACACAGUAGAUAUAUUUUCUUUUUUUCUUUUUUCUUUUUUUUCGG
rnacentral:sRNA from 1 species